rnacentral:pre_miRNA from 1 species
AAUCGAUGAUGCUGUUGACUUUUUCUCACAUAUUUGACCAUUCGUUUUAUUAAAAAAUUUAUGUAAUUAUAAUUUAUUUUGUUAUGAGUGGUUUUAUCACUCAUAGUACUUUAAGUGUGAUUUAUAUCUUAUACAUUUGCAUAAAAAUUUUGAAUAAGACGAAUGGUCAAACAUGUGAAAAAAAAUCAACCACGUUAUGUAUU